CGUGGGCUUGAGGGUGCGCAAACACCUAUCAAUUGGCAGGUAUUUAGUAUACUCCUGGAGGUAAACAAGAUACUCCUGGAGCUCCAGAGGAAAACUCUUACAGCCUUUGUCUAAAUUCCCAACGAGGGAAUGUGUCUUCAGACGCUUGUAUUAAAACGGCCCCACCAG
rfam:Otolemur garnettii contig165215, whole genome shotgun sequence.